rnacentral:rRNA from 1 species
AUACGGAGGAUGCGAGCGUUAUCCGGAUUUAUUGGGUUUAAAGGGUGCGUAGGCGGAACGUUAAGUCAGCGGUGAAACGCAGGUGCUCAACACCUGACCUGCAGUUGAUACUGGUGUUCUAGAGUGCGGAUGAGGUGGGAGGAAUUGGUGGUGUAGCGGGGGAAUGCAUAGAUAUCACACAGAACACAGAUUGCGAAGGCAUCUCACAAAUCCGCGAUUGACGCUGAGGCACGGAGGUGUGGGGAUCGAACUGGAUUAGAUACCCUGGUAGUCCGCACAGUAAACGAUGAUAACUCGCUGUCGGCGAUAGACAGUCGGUGGCCAAGCGAAAGCGAUAAGUCAUCCACCUGGGGAGUACGACCGCAAGGUUGAAACUCAAAGGAAUUGACGGGG